UUGAACGCUGGCGGCAUGCUUUACACAUGCCAGUCGGACGGCAGCACAGAGAAGCUUGCUUCUUGGGUGGCGAGUGGCGAACGGGUGAGUAAUAUAUCGGAACGUACCGAGUAAUGGGGGAUAACUAAUCGAAAGAUUAGCUAAUACCGCAUAUUCUCUGAGGAGGAAAGCAGGGGACCUUCGGGCCUUGCGUUAUUCGAGCGGCCGAUAUCUGAUUAGCUAGUUGGUGGGGUAAAGGCCUACCAAGGCGACGAUCAGUAGCGGGUCUGAGAGGAUGAUCCGCCACACUGGGACUGAGACACGGCCCAGACUCCUACGGGAGGCAGCAGUGGGGAAUUUUGGACAAUGGGCGCAAGCCUGAUCCAGCCAUGCCGCGUGUCUGAAGAAGGCCUUCGGGUUGUAAAGGACUUUUGUCAGGGAAGAAAAGGCUGUUGCUAAUAUCGACAGCUGAUGACGGUACCUGAAGAAUAAGCACCGGCUAACUACGUG
rnacentral:rRNA from 1 species